GAGGCUGUGGCUCAGUGGUAGACUGUCCGCCUAGCACGUGCGAGAUGCUGGGUUCGAUCCUCAGCACCACA
rnacentral:tRNA from 1 species